rnacentral:lncRNA from 1 species
AUUAUAAUAAGGGAAAACUUCAAAAACCUCCAUGUGGUUUCGUAGUUUCUCACUUUGCCCUCAUGUGGUUUAAAAUGUAUCAAUUUGUCCCCCUGUGGUUUCUUUUUUCUCUUUUUCUUAUCAAAAUUUUUUUUUUCUUAAAUCAAUAAUAGAGUUAAAAUUAAAGAAUGCUAAAGUGAAUAUUUGAUAAAUCUAGAUGGUAUCUGAAGUUUUUUGUAUAUAAUUUAAUAAAAUAUUAACGAAAAAAUUACCAAAAAUAUAAAAACAAAACCACAGAAGGACAAUUUGAUACAUUUUAAACCAAAAGGGGGCAAAGUGAGAAACUACGAAACCACGGGGGGUUUUUGAAGUUUUCCUUUAUAAUAAUGAAGUA